rnacentral:rRNA from 1 species
UACGUAGGGUGCAAGCGUUAAUCGGAAUUACUGGGCGUAAAGCGUGCGUAGGCGGCUAUGUAAGACAGAUGUGAAGUCCCUGGGCUUAACCUAGGAACUGCAUUUGUGACUGCAUUGCUAGAGUGUGGUAGAGGGAGAUGGAAUUCCGCAUGUAGCAGUGAAAUGCGUAGAUAUGCGGAGGAACACCAAUGGCGAAGGCAAUCUCCUGGACCUGCACUGACGCUCAUGCACGAAAGCGUGGGGAGCAAACAGG